AUGAACGCUGGCGGCGUGCCCAAUACAUGCAAGUUUUUACGGAGCGCUUCGGCGCUCAGUGGCGAACGGGUGAGUAGCACAUGGGCAACCUGCCCUUCAGAGGGGGACAACAGCUGGAAACGGCUGCUAAGACCGCAUAGGCGCGGACGGGACAUCCCGUCCACGUUAAACGUCCUUUAGGGGACGGCUGAAGGAUGGGCCUGUGGCGCAUUAGCUUGUUGGCGGGGCAACGGCCCACCAAGGCGACGAUGCGUAGCCGGCCUAUGAGGACGACCAGCCACACUGGGACUGAGACACGGUCCAGACUCCUACUGGAGCCUGCACUGGGGAAUUUUGGACAAUGGGGGCUACUCUUAUCCACCAAUGCCGCGUGUGUGAAGAAGGCCUUCAGGUUGU
rnacentral:rRNA from 1 species